UCUAGACUCUGGCAUUACUUUCUUGCUGCCUUUCACAUCUUCCUCCCUAUUUUCUAUUGAGAUUCAUUCCUUUUUUCACUUGUUGGCACUUGUUUUCUUCUUGCCAAAUCUCUUUUGUCUCACCCAUCAAACAAACACAUCAGAAAAACUUAAAUUUUUCUUGGCCUAAUUAUUUCUCUAUUACUAUUGUUUCUUGAUAGACCUACACUGUGUUUUAAAAAGUUACACAUCAAGUGAGUAGAUCAGAAUAUAGUUGGGCUGAUGGUUUAAAGUAAGAAAUUAAGCAGAAGAGGACCUGCUUUUAAUGUUUGCCUUCCUUCUCCCUCUCUCCUCUUCUGCUUUGCUUUAUUUAUGCUGAUGGAUUGUAAUAAAUGCAUCAUGGUUGAAAAAAGGCAGAGCCUUACUAGUAACAGUAGGGAUACAUAAACUAAACAUUUCCAGGCACCAUUAUAUCCAUAAAUAACAAAAUUACUUAAAAAUUGUUUUUCCAUUUUUUGAAAAAUGAAGUACAAAUUUAAGCCAUAAACAUGAUUAUCUUUCAAUAGACUCACAUAAAAACAUUUGCAGUUUUUCUUCAAAUUUGUUAACAAAUUAACAUUAUGUUGGUAGGUAGGGUCCAAUUCACUGAGGGCUCUCUCUGAAUUAUGCUGUUACAGAAAAAUAAAGGCCAUAUCUGCUAAUAAUAUUAUGGGAGGCUCUUGCUCCCCACUUCUAUGUGGAUAUCUUUUUGUUUUGAGUAAGGGCUGUUCUGUUACUGAAAUUCUGUUCAUCUGGUUGUUUCUUUGCAAGUAAAUGGUAAAAUAAUUUCUUCAUGUUCUGUAACUCCAAACUUGAAGUGGUCUGGCAGUUUUUAAUCCUAAGCACUAUAAAUCAUAGUGAUUCCUGUGGGCUGGCAGACCGUGAUAGUGCCAGCCCACGCAGAAGCUGAGAAACAGCUUUUUUUCAUUUGUGUAUUUUUUGAGUAAUUAGAAGACAUAAUUUCUGUAAGUUCAAACUCCCUUAGCUCUCCCUCAGCCAUAUUUGCUCACUUCAUUGACCCCAAGUGUUGCUGAAGCAGGAAGAGGAGAUGAUAGCUCUUGAACUUGGGACUUUCAUCACAGACAUUGAUUUUAAAAUCAGAUUUCCCUGCUGAAGGGCGUUGGAAUUCUGCACAGACAUUGCUGUUACCAGAGGAUGGUAAACUGAGAAUCUAGAGACUCUGGAGGAUAAGUCAUUAGGCUAGACCACCAAAAAUGGACCGUGGGGACCAGAGUUCUGUAGCAAUCCUGUCAAAAUCCUAAACCAUUAAAUCAUGCAGUCCCAAGGCAGAGCCGCCUGCACCCCACUUUACGGUUCCAGUUCUGUAGAACUCUUUGGUUUUCAAGCCACUCUCUAUCAUUUUACUCAUUUUUACAGUAUUUGGCAUGAGACCAGACUGUUCUGGUAUUCCAGAGGUAAACUGUGGGUUCAAGGGCUGCAUCAGCCUUUUGCACAGAACCGCAUUUUAUCUUCAAAAAGCACUGGUGCAUGGCAUGAGGUGUAAAUAAGGAACACUCACCUCCAUUAAUGUUAGUGAAAAGCUGGAGUUCUUUCCCUUCCUGUUCCAGUAUUGUACACUAUGUGAAUUUCUCAUUGCAAAGUUCUGUAUUAGCUGAGAGGUCAGAAAGCCACACAAGUCUGAAAAACUUCUUUCAUGUAAAUAAAUGUGUUUAAGAUUUCAACUUUAGUAAAACUAUCAUAUUCUUCUUCUCCAGUUGGAUGUCACUUCUUUAAUUCAAUUAAAUGUAUUUCCAAUAGGCAGGUAACCAAUAAACACCGUCCUUGAUCUGAUGCUACCACUGCACAAACAAGGAAGUAAAUGCAGAAAGUCCUGAUCCCUGGUAGUAACAGAAAAAUCUUAUCAGUUUGCCAAAGAAAAGCAAAGUCAUCUACUGCUAAUAAAUCACCAGUUCACUACAUUGAAACAAAGGGAGACGUGUUUUUUUUAUUGAAGUUGUUUAAACUGUUUCAUUUAAUGAUGCAUCUUUCCCUUCUGCUGUGACUUCUUUUAUAAUUCAGUAAAGCCUAAAUAUUUUUUGACUGUUAUCACUAUGCUGCCCAUGCUGUUAGCAUUAUUAAAUAUGUUAGCAUUAUACUGCCAUUACUGUGUUUAUUUUUCCUCUUGGCAAAGACUUUGAAUGAAACAUGCUGUGGUCAGAAAAAAUUAAUUAAUCUUCAAGACUGGAGUAUCCACCUCACUCCCUAAAGCAGAAAUCCACAGCACAAUCCUAGGCACAAUGACUUGCAGUUCUAGUCAUUGCCUCAUUGCCAAACUCUUGGCCAUAAUUCCUGUGUUACAAUAGCAUGUUUUACAAAGUAGAUGAAAAAACAUUAGUUUGGAGUUAUGUGAACAUUUUAUACUGAUUUCAGGGAGACAUGGAAUUAAUACAGUAAAUACUGUGGUGGUUGAGUAUAUGUACUAGUAUGUGUUUUUUGAAAAUUCUCUUUCUUCUUAAGAAAAAUUAAAAUGUUUAGGAACUGGGUAUGUCUCUGCUCAAGUUCCUGUAUUUUUAUUAGUUCACAGAGGAAGUGUUUCCACUACACAAAACAGGGUGUUACAGGGAGGUUUGUGGUUGAGGAAAUACUGUUGAGAGUGUCACUUCUCAGUAGGUGUGAAGGGCACAGGUGUACACACCCUCUGCAGUAAACAGAAUUACCACCAAAGUCAUAGAUGGAUUCCCUCAAUAAAGAACCAAAAUGUUUGACCUUCCUAUCUGCUUCUAGAAAUCCUCACAGUUGUCUGGCUGGCAGUGCCACAGGUAUAACCUGCAUUCCUUAAGGAAUAGUACAGCACAGGGUAUUGCUGUAGCUACAGAACAUUUGUUGAAACAAAGCGUAAUCAGUUUCAAAAAGCAAAAGCUAAGUGAAGUUCUUCAUCUACUGGCCUUUUUUGUUCUUCACUAGACAGAUAAAAGAAUUAAUAGCAACCCAACAAAGAAGGGAGAUAUGGGCAACACUCCAAUAUUAUUUUUUUCAUACAAUAAUCAAAGUUUUUGGUAUGGGCUGAAAAGUAAAACCUACCUUGUUUAGGAGAAAAGUGACUGUAAAACCAUCAGAUGUCUUUGUUGAACUGCACAACAGAUCAAUUAAUGCUGCAGUCUGUAAAGGAAAUUGGUAUUGACUUCCAUUCUGACCACCACAAUUUGCUGCAGGUACAUUAGUAUGUUCCAUACUUGGUUGCAUGUUAGUGUAAUGGAGUCUAAUGUUUCCCACUUGAUAUCUGUAUUACCCAUAUGACCUGGCUUUAUUGUUUCUUCCCUCCUUCCUUUUUUUUUGCACAAAAACACACCUUGCAUCAUAAACAAUAUAUAGACUCUUAAAAAAUAAAAAUUAAAAAAUUAAAACAAAAUACAAAACCAAGAAAACAAUCCUGCAGUAUGAAUAUCCCUACUUAGCCAUAACAGGUGGUGUGCUCAUUAGUAGGGUUUCAUUUUAUUAUUACUCAAACUCCAUGAGCAGCUUCCUUCUAGCUCUGACAGCUAAAAUUAGGAACUAGCUCUUCUCUUGAUCCUCCUGUCAGAGCAAUCUCAGUAAGUCUGUGGAAGAAAAAUACUCUUUCAUUGCUGCUUUACAAAGACAGUUAAUGGAGCUAAUGUAACCAGGUACCCUGCAUAGCUAUUCACAAGUGUGCAUAUCUAAAGCAUAUCUUCAUUUACAGCUAACUGCCCGUGAACCUUUAACAUUUGAUAAGCAGAGAGUUACUUUCUAUUGAAUUUUCUAUUAUAUGACUUGAACCUUGCUCUGUGGCAAGUUGAGGAAGCUAGGUUGCUUAAAAAACAUCCUCAUUUAUUUCAUCUAGAUUCUGUUUCAAGCAAAUAGAAACCAGUGUGUAACUGGCUGGGCAAUUUCUGUUUCCAGUUUAAGGUGUGUCUCUUCUGCAAUAGCUUAGAAAAUACAGAAUUGCUUAAUAGCUUCAAGAAAUGAAAGAAGACUUUACUGGAAGGGUGUUGUGGUUCUGAGUUCAGCAGCCUCUCUCAUCUGUAUUUUCUCUCCCUGUAGUCUGUUCCACUAAAUCCAAAAACACUACUGCACUAGCGAUUGUAGCACGUAAACACAACAAUAUUCGCCAUUUGUAAUUGUACCUGCCUAGUCUGAAACAGAAUUAUUUCCCCUCGGUUUAUGUUUUUGAUUGAAAGUGUCCUCUGGUUCUUCAGAAAAAAGCAGUCAGGAAUGUUUCAGAUGGAAGCAUCUGUUGUCCUGGAAACAUGAAUUCAGCACCCAAAGAAGGAAUACUUAUUUUCAUAGAAACAAAGGGCUGGCGUGAUAACUUACCUUGUUUACAUUAAAGAAUAUAAUCUGUUCUAAUUACAUUUCAAAUAUCUGUCACUUCAACUAAUUUCUACUCAUAUGAUAUAUUUUUUUCUUAGAUGUUUGUAACUGGAGGAAAGCAAUGGAGCAUACAUUCCAUGGUAUUUACCAGUAUAUGCCUUCAAGAGGUGUCUAAACUCCUUCCCAGUAACUGAUCAGCCAGUCUGUGCUAGCGGGAAGUCUCCAUGGCCCUGCUCAGCACACGGCUCCUUGUUAACGCUGGGGGCGGUGCGCCAUCGUCUGGAAAAGCCGGGAACGGCCUGGAAGGUGAAGAUAAUCUUUGUUCAUACAGGUGUGUCAGACUUGUUCUCACGGGGGGCUUGGAAACAGGAACAUGAGAAAUCUGUAAAAAAAUGCAGAAUAAUUGUAUGCUACGUUGAAAUAUGGAGCAUCAUCUUAACUAUGAAAAUGGUUUUUUACAGUGCUUUUCUCAAAAAUUCUGUUUUGCAAUUAAGAGGCCAGAUACUAGACUUAUACAGUAACUAGUUUUAUAAGGUCACAUUUCAUCAGUUUAUUUAGGGGUUUAUUAAAUAAUUUCUUUGUGUGUGCUUUGGGAAAAAGAAAUAGAAAGGUUGCCGGGACUUGGGUGUUCUUAAUGCACCUUUGAUAAAAGCAAAAUUUAGUCGGCUUGC